ensembl:snRNA U6 U6 spliceosomal RNA
GCUCUCUUUGGCAGUGCAGAUACUGAAACUAGAAUGAUACAGAGAAUAUAAGCAUGUUCACUGUGCAAGGAUGAAACCCAAAUUCAUAAUGCAUUUCUUUUUUUU